AGUGAACGCUGGCGGUAGGCCUAACACAUGCAAGUCGAACGGCAGCACAGUAAGAGCUUGCUCUUACGGGUGGCGAGUGGCGGACGGGUGGGGAAUACAUCGGAAUCUACUUUUUCGUGGGGGAUAACGUAGGGAAACUUACGCUAAUACCGCAUACGACCUACGGGUGAAAGCAGGGGAUCUUCGGACCUUGCGCGAUUGAAUGAGCCGAUGUCGGAUUAGCUGGUUGGGGGGGUAAAGGCCCACCAAGGCGACGAUCCGUAGCUGGUCUGAGUGGAUGGUCAGCCACACUGGAACUGAGCCACGGUCCAGACUCCUACGAGAGGGAGCAGUGGGGAAUAUUGGACAAUGGGCGCGAGCAUGAUCCAGCCAUACCGAGUGUGUGAAGAAGGCCUUCGGGUUGUAAAGCCCUUUUGUUGGGAAAGAAAAGCAGCAGGUUAAUACCCCGCUGUUCUGACGGUACCCAAAGAAUAAGCACCGGCUAACUUCGUG
rnacentral:rRNA from 1 species